GGCCCUCGGUAAAUCCGAUUGACAGUCCAGCGCGCAAACUGCACGACCUGGCAGUCAGGAUCGUUAUCUGGCACAUACAACUCAAUUUACUUCUAUUGGCUGGAAAUAUUUAAAGCAUGACAGUGGCGUAGGUAAAUUACCAAAUAGUGGAUCUUAUGUUGGAUUGAUCAGCCCUGAUGAACUGACCUGACCAUUGUAAUUGAAACCAUAACUCAUGACCACUCUAUCUGUAUAGGUCCUGGUAUACCCUGGGAUGAUGUUCACCCACAACUUUUAACUUGAAAUCUUAAAGGAAGUUUUGCUAAACUAACAAGCAUGAAUGUCUGGUACAGUAAGAUAGGGUUAAUGGUCAACCUGACAUUAUGGUUCAUUCAUUGGGACAGCUAAUGUUUGUGUCUGACCAAGCAGUUCUCAAGUUAGGGCUUGAUGAAGUCUACAAACUGACCAUUAUAUCUACUGGACAAAAAGGAUCAUAUUCUGACCCCCUCCCUCCCAACCAUUUCCUCUGCCUUAUCUUGAUGACUUUGAAGGGUACAAAUGCACUUGGAGCUUUUGAUGGUGUUCUGUUCAAUGCAACAAUUCCCACAUCUCCAGCAGCUGGCUUUGCAGCUAUUGGCGCAGACAGCUAUGGCUUGGAUAAUUUUGCCAUGUUGCAGUUAAUUCCUUGCCACUCUGGUACUGUGUGUGAUACAGAACCACCUUCACAUUUAUUUUUCUAAUUAGACAUUAAGCUUUCCAUGUGCUGAAAUUUAGCAUUGUAGAACGGGAAAUAAAUUGUCUAUGACAGUUCAAAGGGGUGCCCCUGUAAGCACUAUAAAGAUUAACUCGGGCACCUUUUUGCCAUAGAGGAAAGUAGGUUGUAAUAGGGUUUAUGAAAACACUGCACUCAUCUUUUAUCUUCAGCAUCAUUAUUAUUAUUAAACCAUUACUCAAAUUUUGCUUUGUUAUUUUGCCAUGUAGAGAUUUACUGCUGCUGGGGUGAACAAUGCUUAAAAAAAUACAAAUAUGCUGUGUUUUUACUUUGGCCCAGCGGUGGCUCACACAUUUAUGUCUUUUGUAUUUUUCUAUACCAGUUCUGUUACUGUGCAAAUGCAAAAAAAAAAAAAAAAAUACAAGUUGUUGCACUAUUGAUAUUUUUUAUACUAAUUUUUUAUUUAUAUUAUUAAUUAUUUAUUAUUAUCUAAGCAUCUGUUUGUAUUUGAGCUGGGUAAUGAAUAUAGAUUCUUAAAUUUAAUUGUUGUUUGUUGCUUUACUCACUUUUAAACUGUGACCAUGUAAAUUUUGUCUAGAUGGAGAAUGGUAAUGUCUUAGUGUUAAUGAUUAGAUUGAGAAUGUUAAUGUCUUAGUGUCAAUGAUAACAGUGAGAAUGGUAAUGUCUUAGUGUCAAUGAUAACAGUGAGAAUGGUAAUGUCUUAGUGUCAAUGAUAACAGUGAGAAUGGUAAUGUCUUAGUGUUAUUGAUUAGAUUGAUAAUGGUAAUGUCUUAGUGUCAAUGAUUACAUUGAGAAUAGUAAUGUCUUAGUGCCAAUGAUAACACUGAGACAAUCAUUAGAUUGAGGAUGGUAAUGUCUUAGUGUCAAUGGUGUAACACUAUGAUUAGAGUGAGAUGCACGAGAUGAUUUCAGUUGACGUGAAAAUGGGUCUUACACAUUGUCGAGCAAAGAGGUACCAUUUUUGAUCACAUGACCACGUUUUUUUAGUAAGUUAGCGCCAUAAUGUAUCAAGAGACGUAGGUGUCUCUGUUUUAUGAAAUUGGAUUAAAUAAUAUGAGUACCUAAUUGGAGCUUUUUCUAUGGAUGUAGUUUGUAUUUGAUGUGAAAUAAUUCGUGAUGAUAUUUUAUGGCUGAGAUUGCCUACUUUAUGAACUAUUAUUUGAUGUAAUAAAUAUUUGUCUGCCA